rnacentral:rRNA from 1 species
AACCCCGGAACUGCAUCCGAUACUGCCGUGCUAGAGGAUUGGAGAGGUAGCUGGAAUUCACGGUGUAGCAGUGAAAUGCGUAGAUAUCGUGAGGAACACUCGUGGCGAAAGCGAGCUACUGGACAACUCCUGACGCUGAGGCUCGAAGGCCAGGGUAGCGAAAGGGAUUAGAUACCCCUGUAGUCCUGGCAGUGAACGGUGCACGCUUGGCGUGAGGGGAAUCGACCCCCCUUGUGCCGGAGCUAACGCGUUAAGCGUGCCGCCUGGGAAGUACGGUCGCAAGACUAAAACUCAAAGAAAUUGACGGGGACCCGCACAAGCGGUGGAGUAUGUGGCUUAAUUCGAUGCAACGCGAAGAACCUUACCAAGGCUUGACAUGCAUCUCUAAGCGCGUGAAAGCGCGUGACCCUUCGGGGGAUUUGCACAGGUGCUGCAUGGCCGUCGUCAGCUCGUGUCGUGAGAUGUUGGGUUAAGUCCCGCAACGAGCGCAACCCUUGUGAUUAGUUGCCAGCACGUCCUGGUGGGAACUCUAGUCAGACUGCCCAGAUCAACUGGGAGGAAGGUGGGGACGACGUCAGGUCAGUAUGGCCCUUACGCCUUGGGCUGCACACGUACUACAAUGCCCAGUACAAUGAGAACCGAGACCGCGAGGUGGAGGAAAUCUGCAAAACUGGGCCCAGUUCGGAUUGGAGGCUGCAACUCGCCUCCAUGAAGUUGGAAUCGCUAGUAAUGGCGCAUCAUCUACGGCGCCGUGAAUACGUUCCCGGGUCUUGUACACACCGCCCGU